rnacentral:rRNA from 1 species
CGAACGCUUCUUUUUCCACCGGAGCUUGCUCCACCGGAAAAAGAGGAGUGGCGAACGGGUGAGUAACACGUGGGUAACCUGCCCAUCAGAAGGGGAUAACACUUGGAAACAGGUGCUAAUACCGUAUAACAAUCGAAACCGCAUGGUUUUGAUUUGAAAGGCGCUUUCGGGUGUCGCUGAUGGAUGGACCCGCGGUGCAUUAGCUAGUUGGUGAGGUAACGGCUCACCAAGGCCACGAUGCAUAGCCGACCUGAGAGGGUGAUCGGCCACAUUGGGACUGAGACACGGCCCAAACUCCUACGGGAGGCAGCAGUAGGGAAUCUUCGGCAAUGGACGAAAGUCUGACCGAGCAACGCCGCGUGAGUGAAGAAGGUUUUCGGAUCGUAAAACUCUGUUGUUAGAGAAGAACAAGGAUGAGAGUAACUGUUCAUCCCUUGACGGUAUCUAACCAGAAAGCCACGGCUAACUACGUGCCAGCAGCCGCGGUAAUACGUAGGUGGCAAGCGUUGUCCGGAUUUAUUGGGCGUAAAGCGAGCGCAGGCGGUUUCUUAAGUCUGAUGUGAAAGCCCCCGGCUCAACCGGGGAGGGUCAUUGGAAACUGGGAGACUUGAGUGCAGAAGAGGAGAGUGGAAUUCCAUGUGUAGCGGUGAAAUGCGUAGAUAUAUGGAGGAACACCAGUGGCGAAGGCGGCUCUCUGGUCUGUAACUGACGCUGAGGCUCGAAAGCGUGGGGAGCAAACAGGAUUAGAUACCCUGGUAGUCCACGCCGUAAACGAUGAGUGCUAAGUGUUGGA